GUUAAAAAUAAUCAAAAACGGUAAUAAUAAUUAUCAGCAUUAACAAGAUUAAUAAUAAUAUUGCUGUAAAAUAUAUCAAAAUAAAUAAAUAAAGUCACGCUUCCAGUGGCGUAAUGACGUAACGGCGUAAAGCUGCGUACGCCAGCUGGCGUCGUGGAUGUUGUCAUGUCGCUGUUAGCAGCUGAGUCGUCGGAGUAAAUCAGCUUCUGUUGGACCGGCGGAUGAUAAUAAUGUGUUUUUAAAAACAAAUUAAUACUAUUUACCGAGUGGAAACAACUAACCGCUUCCACCACAUGUUCGCCAGCAUUUAACGGCACAGAGAAGGAGUUAGCCCGCAGAUAACCUAGCUCACUGGCUAGCUUGCGAGCUAACAGCUUAGCUGGCUCCUCCAGCUGAUGUUAGGUUGGUAAUGUAGCUGUAGCAUCUUGAAGGAACUCUGUUAUGAAUGACUGAUAUUAUACAUUGUAUGGCUUAACGUGUAAAUGUUUAAGUUUACAACAAUGUGAGUGACGUAUUUAUGAGUCAGUUGGCUAUUUUUGUGAAUUCGGCAGACAAAUAUUCCACCAACUGCAAUUUAUUACGGUAAAAACUUUUAGCGUGUUCUAACGCUUAACUCGUAUUGUUUAUUAUGAAAGACCAUAGAGCCUAAAUCUGCAUGUUUUUAAACGGGAGUCUGGUGCGGCAACAUUCUAUUUUCUGUCAACAGCAGCCAUAUGCCAUUAUUCCUGUAGUCGUAUACAUAUGCAGCCAGAGUGACUGUUACAACGCCAAGUUAUCAGGUUCAGUUCCUGAGCUCCAGGAGCCAAAAUGAUUAAUGAAAAUGAUCCAUGAAGAUGUAUUAUUUAAGUUAAAAUGUUUCCUAAGCCCUUUCCUUAGUCUGGCAUGGGGAUCUCCUCACACUCUACCAGCAGCCUGGUGGGCACGAUGACGUAGUUUGGUGUGUUUUCUGACAGGAGACUGGUGUCCUGGUUUCUCCUCAGUAUGGCGUCUUCCUUUAAGAUCCCGAAGAAGAAACACCCAACGGCUUCUGAAUCCGCCCCCCUGUACACGUCACCGCUGUCCCGCCUGCAGAGCGCCACCCCCGAAUUAAAGAGCUAUGGGAACCAGUACAGCAGAGCUGACAGGAUGCAUGCUGGGAGCUCAGCAGGCUCCUCAGUGAACAGAGAGAGGGAAGUGGUCAAAACGCUGCUCGGACUUACAGCCAAUCAAAGAGAAGCCUCGGCAGCCAAUCGCAAAGGAGGACGGAGUGCCAAGUUGUCUGCUGCUUCUCCCUCAGUCGGGUGGCGCCCUAAAAGGGCUUCAGACCGCCAGCUGCCUCCUGAUGUGACCUCACAGCCUCCGUCUCCACCA
ensembl:lncRNA